rnacentral:rRNA from 1 species
CGGGUGAGUAAUGUAUGGGGAUCUGCCCGAUGGAGGGGGAUAACUACUGGAAACGGUAGCUAAUACCGCAUAAUGUCUGCGGACCAAAGCGGGGGACCUCCGGGCCUCGCGCCAUCAGAUGAACCCAUAUGGGAUUAGCUAGUAGGUAAGGUAACGGCUUACCUAGGCGACGAUCCCUAGCUGGUCUGAGAGGAUGAUCAGCCACACUGGGACUGAGACACGGCCCAG